AAACUAGACUAUCAAUAACAACUCAUAAACUAUAGCUGAAAUGUUUGUAGUUGCAAGAGUUCUCUCGUUUUUAGUUCAGAAAAAAAAAAAAGAGUUCUUUGGUUUAAAUGAUACUCGUUAUAUAUAAAGAUGUUAGAAGUCAUGUGUUGCAAAAUAUUUAAAGCCAUGUGUUCUGUCUAUCUAAGCUCGUAUAACAUGAAAUAUUUUGGAACCUAAAGUAUAUGCUAUCACAGCACAUCCGCCAAAGUAACUAGUUGUGGAUCCAAUAAGAUGUACCAAAGUAAUUACAAGGUCUAGACUGCUGAGUUGGAGAGGUAACCGCGAUAUAAUAAGUAGUAUUCAAUCAUCAAUGCCGUGGA
rnacentral:lncRNA from 1 species